ACACCUACUAUCUGUUGAGGUUUAAGAAUUUUAGAAUUCUAAUCUGCUUUUCUUUGGAUCCGUGAAUAUGUCUUUGGGUUUUUUUUUAUCCUAACCCUAGACAUAUAAAAGGAUUGUUUUAAGAGUCAUCAAACAAUUCACAAGUUGCACAAGUUUUGAGCAAACUCUGUUCAAACAAAUUGUGACCGGAGACGAAGUUCUUGCCCUAGUUCAUCUCUUUCUCUUGAAGAAGUUGUUGUGUAUGUGUACCGUAGAGUUUUGUGACCAAGCAUCUUCUUGAUCUUCAUCGUGUGGAUGAAUUGAAGAACUUUGCAACCAACAAUCUUCGUAAUUGGUGAUUGAAGUCGCGUACUGGGAUCCAUGCAAUUGGUUAGUCACGUACUUGGGAGUCAUGCAUUAGAAAGAGGAACUGUCACUACAGAACAAGUUCAAUUGGGUAUUGGGGUAAGGGUUCAACUGUAGGUUGGUAAGGUACUUGAGAUUUCUUUACUUAUAACUGCUUGUUGUGAUAAUAGUGGAGUUUCGGGAGUGGUGACCUGAAAAUCACCCGGUGGGGUUUUUGCCGUUAGGUUUUUCCCAUUCGUAAACAAAUCACCGUGUUAUUUAUUUUCCGCUGCAUAAUUAGUUUAUUGGUGAUUUGUUUGUGCUACCACUUUUUUGCAUGAUAAAUUGAUUAAUUAAUAACUUGGCUAAUUAAUUAAUUAAUUUCUAUCACAAAGCGUCAUUCAGUUUGUGGCCUAUCAGUUUGAAUUAUAAAUAUUCAAAAAGAGGGAUAAUCUCAUUCAACCUUUUUAUUUUCAUCAAUAAUUUAGGGUGGGGAGAUUUGAACUCAUCUCUUUGUUGGAAAUUUUGAAUCAUUAAGAUGUGCCAGUUGAGCUACAAGACUCUUGGCCAAUUUCAUCCAACCUUGAAAUGUAGCGUGGCAGAUCAUGAUCUCUAAGAAAAAUCCUAAUCUAGGUCUUGGUCUCAAUCCCCAUUUUCUUAAUAAUCUUUCCUCCUUUUCAACUUUUCUCAACGAACAACCUUUAUGCAUUCUUGACCUUACAAGCAUCAUCGUCACUCUUUCUUCCGCACCCAUCACUAUUUCAAAACUAUCCUCACUAGCAUCAAAGAAAAACUUGUUGGAGGUAUUGAAGAUCCUAUUGUGGAUGAGAAACAAAACCUUAUGAGUGGACUAGAACACAUGCAUAAUGCAUUGUUUUGUAGGGAAUACGGUGGUGCGUGUUAGAGAUCUUGAUGAUACACUCCUCAUCUUCAAGGAUGAGACUGUGUAGGGUCGAGUGUGAAAGUUUUGUGAAGACCUGUGAAGAAGGUGAAUUCGCAAUUGGCUCGCGACUGGUUCACGAGUGACAACCUGCAAAAGGCCAUGUGAGAAGCACAUGUUGGAAUUUGAACAGUCUCAUGCCAAGUUGGAUUUAGCGUGUCACUUCACAACUCAAGCCAAGUCGUGAGUGACCCGCGAAACUCACUGUUUGAACUUUUUUAGUGUACUUUUUCUCAUACCUUUACCAACACUAUAUAAGCCCACAUUACCCACGAAAUUGUAAGGAGUUUUUCCAAGGAACUUUUGAGAAAGAAAACCCUAGCUAUACACUUGAGAGUUAGAGAUUGUAAACUCACAAUCUUCUACACCAUUUCUCUACUCCUACCUCUCCAUUUACAUAUCCUUGAGAGGUUAUUUUCCCAAACACUUACCUCACACAUUCUGAGUGUUGAGAGAAGUUUUUGGUGUGUAUGGGAAGCAUUAGAAGAAACCAUUGAUUGGCAGAUGCAAUUUGGAGCUAAUUUUGGGAUCCGAAGACAUGGCUUCGUGAAGCCCGUUGGUAGCUAGAACUUGGAGGGUUCAAGUACAUUGGGUAGAUUAGGCUUGGAGGGUCUUUUUGAUAUUUGUGUACUCCAACUUUAUUCACUGUAGAUCGGUUUCGCCUUGGAGGGCCGUGGAUAGGUUUUUCACUGAGUACUUCGGUUUUCUCUUCGAUAACACAUCUCGGUGUUAUCUUGUGUU